UCCGUGUUAACCACGGCAGUCUCUUUAGAGUGCCCAACUGAAUGCUGGCAACUAAAGACAAGGGUUGCGCUCGUUGCGGGACUUAACCCAACAUGUCACCACACGAGCUGACGACAGCCAUGCAGCACCUGUCACUCUGUCGUAUUGCUACGAAAGACGCAUCUCUGCGUUUGUCAGAGGAUGUCAAAUCCAGGUAAGGUUCUUCGCGUUGCUUCGAAUUAAACCACAUGAUCCACCGCUUGUGCGGGCCCCCGUCAAUUCCUUUGAGUUUUAGCCUUGCGGCCGUACUCCCCAGGCGGGGCGCUUAAUGCGUUAGCUGCGGCACGGAAGGAGUCGAUGACCUCCCACACCUAGCGCCCAUCGUUUACGGCGUGGACUAC
rnacentral:misc_RNA from 1 species